UCGAACGUCCCUCCGCACCCAGGAACUCCCUCCGCCCUACGAUCCAUCUGUGCCUCUCGCCUCGCAUCCUUCCCCUCCGCCACCGCCCCUUAUGUCCCACCGACCGCGUUCGUGAUCCAUCACCACACCGUCGCGUCCUCCAUCGCACCGUCGGCGCAUCCUCCGCUCCAUCCCCUCCCGCAUCGACGUGUCCGACGCGUUCGCCUCCACCUCCGUCGCCGCGCUCGGGGGGCCUGGCGGGAUCCCCAGGGCACCGCCGCGGCGAUCCUCUCUGCCGGCACCUUCAUCUCCGCGUUUGUCAUUAGCACCGUCACGCUCAUCGUUGCGCCGUGUGCCGUGCCACCGGCGUCGUUCAUGCGGGAAAUGUUCUUCUACCUCCUCACAUCGUUCGAGCUCUUCUACAUCUACCUCAAUGCCAAGCCAGAGAAGGGGUGCCGAGGAUGAGGUCCACCCGCACAUCGCCGGCACUAGGGCAGUGUCCCCCACUGUCAUCGACCCGAGGAGGCUGGAUUCGCGGCAUCCGCGGCGGAGGAUAGAUCCACAGAGGUGCUGGCCGGAUGCGCCGCCAUGAGCUCCAUCCGCUGCACCCUCGUUCGCAUCGUUCCUGCUGCAGCUGUCGGCAUCAUCUCCAGAGCCUUAUGUGAUCCACGGACAUGCCGGCAAGCUCUACCCCUGGCCGUGAUUGCUCAAGUGCGCCAAGGGGAUUUGCACAGGAAUGCUUGGCAUAAGCUUGGUGCUAUGCCUACCCAAGAAGCUACUCCCUAACUGGGCUGAGAAAUAAGUUAGCAGGAGAGUGAGAGAUUGUUGCAACCACUGAGCACAAGGAGUGACCAUGACCUGCACCUUUUCUUUCCCCUUAUCAUGCUAAUGUAGUAUCAAGAUAAAUAUAGAUAUUUAGAGUACAAAUGGCAGAGGUCCUAGCUACUUUGACUAAAGCUGGGAGGCUGUGAGUUUGAUUGAUAGCUCCAAAUGCUUUUGGCUUUUCAGAAGCACGAGAGCACAAAGGCCUAAAUUCUGAGUUGUGGCAUGUGCCCACCCUCAUGUGUUGGUUUCCUGUGGUAGUGGUGUAUUUUCCUCAUCACAUGGCAUUUCCAUUUGCUCUGGAUUGGAACGGACCAGCAGAAUGUUUUAAGGUGCAUGCUUUGUGAAGAGGAGGACUGGGAAGGCUUGAAGGUUGUAAUUUUGCUAUGAUGAUAGGUGCCCAGGACUUUUUUGGAAAUAGCAGAUUUUGGGGAAAAAACAUUGAGUGUUGUUCCUUCUGGAAAUCAAGUGCAUACAGACCAAGGAACUGUUCUUCAUUGCUGCCAUUCAGCGUGUGCUGAAGACUUUCUUGUGUAAGCAGUGUUCUGGACUUUGUGUCUUUGUUGGCACUCUACGAAAUAUUUUCUUGGUUAUACAUAAAUAGUUAAUUUGCUGCAUAUUAAUAUUUUUUUAUUUUUGUUGAGUAAUAUUCUCACAUUUCAGAUUGUGUGUUAUUUUGCAGCUAAUUGUAGGUUGCAGGUUGUUUUACUAAUUUCAAUAAUUUACAACCUGUUGCCUUGGAGCAACUCUGAAUCUGAAGUAAACAAACUAAACCUAUGUUGCUAGGUUUCUUUUUUUCUAUAAGAAUGUGUAUUGUAAAUUUUUAAGAAACCAAUAUUUACCAAAGUAUUUUGUCUUCUGCCGAAAGCUUUGUGAAGCUGCACAAUUUUCAUUCGAAAACAAACAAGGUUUAUAUAUAAUUUUUUUGGUUUUCUCAUGGGAUGAUGACUUUAACACUACAAAAGGCAUGAUUUCUGUACUUGCCAAUUCUCUGCUACUGAUCAUUCUCCUCUGUCUUAUUUCAUUCUUCUCUACUGGCCAGGUUGAGGACUCUGAGAUUACCAGCCGAGCUGUAUAGCUCGUUGCUUGCUUGUGGUCUGCAAAAUUGCAUGUCAUGCCAUUCUCUGCUUCUUCUCUGUUAUUCUGAUUCUCUGAAAUGAUUGAGCUGUAUAGCUCGUUGCUUGCUUGUGGUCUGCAAAAUGGCAUGUCAUGCCAUUCUCUGCUUCUUCUCUGCUGUUCUGAUUCUCUGAAAUGACUGAACGUGCACUAUUAUGGUCAGUGUAUGUAGAGGUUCGUGCUAAGAGGGCUCAAUGUGCUAGGAGGAGGAGGACCCCAACGUCGAUGUUCCCAACUGGUUGCUACCUCCAGAAGGAAACAGUGGGCGAUGAAAGCAAGGGAUUUGUGAAGUUUGUGAAGUACAUACGGCAGAGAAACGACAGAGAAAGGAUCAAGAGAAGCAGGAAGUGGAAGUUCACUUGGGCUGGGCUUCAGUAACCAAUCAUGAUAAGCAUGGAAAACUGACAUAGUGCAUACUUCUUACUUCUUAGAGAAAACUGACAUUAGAGAACUGAAUCGUAUUGGCUAAAAAAGGGGGGAUUAUGCUACUCAUGGUGCUAACCGUAAGAAUCAAAAGAAACAAUGCAGUGCUUCUGUUGCCAAUAGCAUUGCAAGUUUUGUAAAUUGCAGGUAUUAAAUAAACCUGAUGAAAAAAAUUCACGGUGUAGUAGCUUUAUUUAGUA